GAAUAGGGCCAAAUUGAGAUGCUUGUU
rnacentral:piRNA from 1 species